rnacentral:rRNA from 1 species
CGUAGGAGGCGAGCGUUAUCCGGAGUUACUGGGCGUAAAGCGCGUGUAGGUGGCUUGUUACGUCUGCUGUGAAAGCUCCCGGCUUAACCGGGACUAGGCGGUAGAUACGGGCAAGCUCGAGGGUGACAGAGGAGCGUAGAAUUCCGGGUGUAGUGGUGAAAUGCGUAGGGAUCCGGAGGAAUACCAGUGGCGCAAGCGGCGCUCUGGGUCGAGCCUGACACUGAGACGCGAAGGCAUGGGGAGCGAACGGGAUUAGAAACCCCGGUAGUCCAUGCAGUAAACGAUGCAGACUGGGUGUGGGCGACGCAAGUCGUCUGUGCCGAAGCCAACGCGCUAAGUCUGCCGCCUGGGAAGUACGGUCGCAAGACUA